rnacentral:misc_RNA from 1 species
GUACUCAUUUCUUGGAUGGCAGCAACUGAAUUUACCGAUCUUCUGCAAGACUGAAUUCUUAACGUCUACACGCCGGCUGUACGCGCGUACGUACGUCGUGCCGCACCGCGCCGCGGCGUUGAAGUUCAUAAUGGAUAAUUGUAAAAAGGGAUAAUAUAGGUUAAAACAAUAAGAUUUACGUUCUUCCUGAAGAUUUCAACACGCCCCUUUCACUUCGAGUGUUCCCGCGCCCCCCAGAGGCUUUCCUUAAAGUUGCCACUUUCACAAACGCUCCGCCCAGCAAUUAUUGCUGACAGUUAAUGAAUCGUUCAAGGAGAACUUAUCGUUGAUUUCUCUUAAUUACCUUCACUACAUUUGAAGAUAUUUUGCAAUUUGUCAUUCAAGUCAAGGCACUGAGACGAACAGUUAAAUUAUCUGAUUAACUUAAAAUUUAACACUAACUGAUUAACUUGAAGUAACACUUGAAUUAAUAUUGAACUAUCUACAAUUGUUUUUAAAGUUUUUGUAAAUUUAAGAGAUGCAAAGCAAAAAAUAAAUAAAUAACGAGAAGAUCAAAUCGUAAAUAUAAUAAAUAAUUAAUUAGAAACCAUCACAAAUACCAAACUCCAAGGAUUUUCACAUUAUUCCUUUCCUCUGUAUUUUUAUAUAAAGUUAAAUGUUAGUGUGUUAUUAACAUGUUAUUUUUUAUCAUAAACCCUAAUUGGAGAUAAAUAUUUAACA